UUCUGAAGAAAAUUUGAGUUUAUCUGAAGAAAUUUGAAAGAAAUCCGAAGAAGCUGUGUCCAGUCCACGGUGUCCAGUGCAUGCAAUAUUCGGUCUAUUUGGUGCUUGUAGACGUAUAGAAUUCUACAAUGUGUUAGCGAUGUGAAGGAAGAAGUUUCAGUCUUCAUGAUGCAUCUUAAAGCGAACGUCUGGUACAACCUUAGCAGAUAGUAGUGCCUAUAUAUGAAUAUUAGAAUACCCAAAAGUUACAGUGAUUUGAAAAGCGACACAUUUGCUGAAAGGGAUGUGAUGAAUUUGAGAGAGAAUAAAAACAAUAUUGCUAGGAAGUUAGAAUUUGUUAGCUGCAGAAAAAACAUGGAUGAAAAUCAUGAAAGAAAUUUUUGCA